AGCUCCAAUAGCGUAUAUUAAUGUUGUUGCAGUUAAAAAGCUCGUAGUUGGAUUUCUGACAAGAGCGGCCGGUCCGAGCCUUUCGGGUUCGUGUACUUGUGUUGUCUCUAGUCAUCCUUAUGGAGAACGUGUGUGGCAUUAACUUGUCGUGCUCGGGACCCAUAUCGUUUACUGUGAAAAAAUUAGAGUGUUCAAAGCAGGCAAUCGCUGUGAAUACAUUAGCAUGGAAUAAUAAGAUAGGACUUUGGUACUAUUUUGUUGGUUUGCAUACCAAGGUAAUGAUUAAGAGGGACAGUUGGGGGUAUUCGUAUUUAUAUGUCAGAGGUGAAAUUCUUGGAUUUUAGAAAGACGAACUACUGCGAAAGCAUUUACCAAGGAUGUUUUCA
rnacentral:rRNA from 1 species